rnacentral:rRNA from 1 species
UACGUAGGGCGCAAGCGUUGUCCGGAAUUAUUGGGCGUAAAGAGCUCGUAGGCGGUCUGUCGCGUCUGCCGUGAAAACUCGGGGCUUAACCCCGAGCCUGCAGUGGAUACGGGCAGACUAGAGGUAGGUAGGGGAGAAUGGAAUUCCCGGUGUAGCGGUGAAAUGCGCAGAUAUCGGGAGGAACACCGGUGGCGAAGGCGGUUCUCUGGGCCUUACCUGACGCUGAGGAGCGAAAGCGUGGGGAGCGAACAGG